rnacentral:lncRNA from 1 species
GUCUGUGUGUACGUGUGUGAAGGUUUUUUUUUCAUUCAUGAAAAUCCUGGAAAAACCAAAAACACCGAACAACGGAGGAUUGCGAUUCAAAAGAGAGAGGAAAAAAAAGAAGAGUGUCCUGCGCUUUGUUUACACAAUGCGAGUCGCCGGAUGCGUUUACCUGUUCCCACGCAUUUACGAGAUGAAUAAAUGACUGGUCUAUUUAUUCACGUUCGCCCACAUUGCACAACUUCAACAUACAAAUGAAUUCCAUUUAAAUAAUUGAAUAAGAAAAUUUCUUUUUUUUUUUGUUGGUAAUUUGUAAAGUGAAAAGUUAUUCAAAAUGAAUCGAGAGAAAAAAAAAACUGAUAGCGCUGGCCAUGAGCAGAGAAAUAAAAAUUGCACAAUUAACCACAUCCCAAUCUCCGGUAAGGGCCUAUUUUUUGAAAAAAUACAAACAGACUUGUUUUGGACUUUCUGCUCUCGUCCGUUCUUCACUCUCUCAAUAGACCAAGGCGCCCGGUUGUCGUGGUUACUGUCUGGCUCUUCAACAAAUAUUGAUAUUGUCUCCUUGUGUACAUGUACAGAUAUUCAUUUGGAAAUCCCUUGUUCGGACUCGAACGCAGUUUACCUCUUUAUUUGAUUAGCACGACGCUCAUUGAAAGUGUCCUGGAUUUUUAUAAACGAAAAUGUGUGUAUGAAAAAUUGGGUGUGCGGGACGACGUAAAAGAGACUUUGUGUGUGUGUGUCUGUGGUUUCCUUGUUUUCAGUUGGUCGUGUGUGUUGUUUCGCUGGGUGGAGAAAAGAAAAAUUUCAAUUGCGUCACGUCCUUUAGCGCAAUCGCGGGAAUACCAGGAAAACAGAAACAAAAACAAACAAGACUUGAAUUUUUUUUUUUCCUAUCGUUUCUUUUUUGAUUAGAAUAUAUUUGAAAAAUGUGUGCAGCAAAGACACGCGUAUUGGAGAACAGCAUCUGUUUCUCACUUAGCCAGAAGGCUGUUCGAUGAUGACGGAGCUCUGUCACGCCGGCUGCUGUCUUUUUUUUGAACGCGGAACAUGAACGGACCAGCAGCGAGGGUAAUGACAAGGCCACAUCCUUGGUGAUAACUCGUUUCCCUCUUUCACUCCCUUGAUUGUCUUCCUUUGUGUUUUUCCCAGAUUUCAUUCAUUAUGUACCGAAUGAUAAGCUCAGCGAUUCUUUCAUUUUCGGAAAUGUUUUUUUUUUUGUUGGUUUCGCAAUUGUUUCGGGAAAAAAUGAAAGAUUAAUCACGAAGACGCCAGCGAUAUGAAACCAGUAUUCCUUAUUUAAUUAUUUCGAAAACAAAACAAAAUUUCUAGGCAGAGAAAGAAAAUUCCUGGAGAUGGUGAAGAGUUGGGAACCAACGAGUGCUGUGAGUUUGGCGAUUUCAACUUCCACAUGCAAAUUGAGAAAAGAGCCGCCUUUGUUUACAGGCUCUCUGACUUGCAGGUGAACUGUCUGGAGUGCGUCAACAGCUCCGCAUACGCCGGUGUUUUCUCUUUCUGGUUGGGAUAGUCUACGCAUCAAAUAAAAAGCUUGCUCAAUCUUAUUCAUUUGCUAUAUGCACAAUGUGUGCGCUGGCUCUUUUUUCAAGUCAAACAAACGGAUUUUUUUCUUUUUCUCUCUAAAAAUAGAUUUCUCUUCGUUUUUAUUCUUUAAAAAAACAACAUGCAUAAGUUAUGAAUGAGAUGCGACAAAAACAAACAAUUAAAAAAUAUAUUUAAAAAGAAAUGGU